rnacentral:rRNA from 1 species
CCUGCAUGAAGUCGGAAUUGCUAGUAAUCGCGGAUCAGCAUGCCGCGGUGAAUACGUUCUCGGGCCUUGUACACACCGCCCGUCACACCAUGGGAGUCGGUAACACCCGAAGUCUGUAGCCUGACGCAAGAGGGCGCAGCCGAAGGUGGGAUUGAUGACUGGGGUGAAGUCGUAACAAGGUAUC